UCAUUCAUUCAGACACCCAGUACAUACUUACUGAGCACCUAGUAGAGCAGACUUUUGAGCUGAGGGUGAGUGGACAUUAACGUACUCACAAACGUACCCGCUCAAGGAAGGAGACUGAACUUCAAAUGCAACUAAAGGGAUUCCGUGCUUGGUGAUAACCUCCUGUGGCUGGCUGCCAUUCUCUGCCAAGGUGCCCAGGGGGCACUACAGCUGUGGUACAGGGGAUAGACUAUCUCUCACUGUGGCAUCAAGACCUUGGCAUAGUCAUCCACAUGGUGCUGGUUUUACAGGCCUGGAAAAAAAAAUGUGAGAGUUACAUAAUGGAGGCUUACAUCAACGUUCCAGAAAGACAUGAGACCAGGCAAAGUGUGGCAGGGUCACAUUCCCUGCAAGGAGACCCCUGAGAAAUCAUUUCAUACAACUGUGAAGGUGAAGCCUUAGUUGCAAGGGGAAACCCGUUUUGGAGAUGCCAGGACUGUGGGAUGAGUGGAACAGGCCUAAGAGAGGCUGUGUGUGCUGCAGUCCACAGAGGGGAGAGUGGUGCUACCCAUGACCGUGGGAGCCUCAGUGACGUCAUCAAGGGCUCCACAUUCAGGACAUGGAGCUGAAGAACACGGUGUUUUCCCUGGUGGGUUUCCUUCAAGCUUUGCCUGGUUUUUCUUUGCUAUGCCCUCAUUUCUCUUUUUUUGGAGUGGGGAUGUUCAUUUUGUGUCAUUGUAUAUUGGAAGUAUAUAAUUCGUAUUUUUUAUUUUACAAGAACUCAGUUAAGAGAUUGUGUGAAUCUUGGAAGAAACUUUGUACUUACACUUUUGAAUAAUCUGGAACUGUAGCUAGAGUUUUCCUGCCUGGCCCACAGUCAGGACAAAUCUCUCUCACCUGCCAGUCCCACAGCCGCUCAGACCCAACCAAGUAAACACAGAGACUUAUAUUGCUUACCAACUAUAUGGCCGUGGCAGGCUUCUUGCUAACUGUUCUUACAGCUUAAAUUAAUCCAUUUCUAUAAAUCUAUACCUUGCCACAUGGCUCGUGGCUUACCGGCAUCUUCACAUGCUGUUUGUCAUCCUGGCGGCUGGCAGUGUCUCCCUGACUCAGCCUUCCACUUCCCAGCUUUAUUCUCCUCCUUGUCCCGCCUAUACUUCCUGCCUAGCCACUGGCCAAUCAGUGAUUUAUUUAUUGACCAAUCAGCAACACACUUGACAUACAGACCGUCCCACAGCAUGGAACUGUCAAAACUAUGGGGAGUUUAAAAAUGGGAAUGGAUGCACUUUGCAUUAUAAGAUUGCCAUGUGUCUACAAAGCCUGGGGGCUGUUAUGCUUUUAAAAUGAUAUAUUUGGGUUGGAAAGGUGGUUUAGAGGGCACAGGCCUUGCUUGCAGGCCCGAAGACCUGAGUUUGAUCUUUAGAUCACACAAGGUGGCAGGAGACACCUAAGAGUUAUCCUCUGACCUCCACAUGCAUGUGGUGGCAUGUAUGCACCUGCAUAUACAUGCUUGCACCUGUCUAUACACGCUCACAUACACACACACACACACACACACACACACACACACACACACAC